ACUUUGGGGAUGGGACCACCUUAUAGUGUUUAAUUCUCCAACACUCAGAACUCAGGCAGGCACAGACUUUGCAGCUUCAUUUGAUUGAGCUUCUUCUGGCUGUAGUCUAAUGAGCAUCUCUAAAAAGAAGGUAGACCUUUUACCAGGAGACUGUUCUCCAGUCUCUGGGAUCUUACAUUCUAUCUCCAGCCAUCAGUGUGAGCGGUGUUCUGCCCACGGUCAGGAAAAGCAUAGUAUCGGGUAACAAUCAAUGGUGUGCAUGGUAAUUUGACUCACUGCCAAAACCCCACAGGUCUUACACCUUCCCCCUUCUUUUUAACUUAGUGGAUUUGUGUAUGUCUGUGUCUGAAUGAGGUGAGAAAUAUGUUAUUCAGGCGAGAAGAAAGACAUGCUUAGGAAGAUUUUUAAUUUAGCCUGAGUCCUGUCGUACUUUCAAAAUGACUUUUCUCCACACCCUGCCCCCCAAAACCCAAGUAUAAAAGAAACGUAUAUUCAUUCCAGAAAAUAUGGAAAAAACAACGUAUCAGUCAGAGGACACGACUGUUAAGAAAUAUAAGCCCACUUCGACUGGCUGAAGCAGAACUUAAUUUAUUUGACGUGUAGCCUGGAUCUCUCAGAAUUGGCAGGAGGUUUUGCCAACUAGGUUUAGAAGGUGGGAAUGAAUUGUGGACUCAAACAGAGGCAGGGAUGGGGGUGNNUGGUGGGCUGCCGUCUAUGGGGUCGCACAGAGUUGGACACUACUGAAGCGGCUUAGCAGCAGCAGCAGCAGAAGCAACCUGUACUUUCAACUCAUCAGGUCCCAAAGGGAAUUCACCAUCUUGUUUUCGGAACCAUUACCCAUUUCCUACUUCAUGCUAUUGGACCUCAGGACAUCCUGCCAGAGGUUUGAUCUGGUGGAUGUAGACUUUGUUUCAGAGGCCCACAAGCUCUCUAAUAUCAUGUAAAAUUUUAUUUCAGCUUUUUAGUGGAGUAUCUUGUUUAAAAAAUUAUUUAUUUAUUUGGCUAUGCCUGGUCUCAGUUGCAGCAUGCAGGCUCUUCAAUCUUCGUUGCAGUACGUGGGUUUUAGUUGCUGCGUGCAGGAUCCUUAGUGAUGGCAUGGAGGAUCUAGCUCCCUGACCAGGGAUUGAAUCCAGGCCCGCUGAAUAGAGGGAGCACAGAGUCUUAGCCACUGGACCACCAGCAAUGUCCCCAUGUAAAAUUUUAGGGAUGUGUUUCCCUGAAUUGACUAGAGGUGUUCUCCCUCCAACCACGCACAGAAAGCAGGGUCCAGGAAUUCAUGUGUUUGGUAUUGCUUGUGUUACUGAAUAUCCAUGAAAUGCAAA
rnacentral:lncRNA from 1 species